AGAGUUUGAUCCUGGCUCAGGAUGAACGCUAGCGGCAGGCUUAAUACAUGCAAGUCGAGGGGCAGCAUGAACUAGCAAUAGUUUGAUGGCGACCGGCAAACGGGUGCGGAACACGUACACAACCUUCCUUUAAGUGGGGAAUAGCCCAGAGAAAUUUGGAUUAAUACCCCGUAACACAACGAAGUGGCAUCACUUUGUUGUUAUAGUUUCGGCGCUUAAUGAUGGGUGUGCGUAUGAUUAGAUAGUUGGCGAGGUAACGGCUCACCAAGUCUACGAUCAUUAGCUGAUGUGAGAGCAUGAUCAGCCACACGGGCACUGAGACACGGGCCCGACUCCUACGGGAGGCAGCAGUAAGGAAUAUUGGUCAAUGGACGCAAGUCUGAACCAGCCAUGCCGCGUGAAGGAUUAAGGUCCUCUGGAUUGUAAACUUCUUUUAUAUGGGACGAAAAAAGGUCUUUCUAGACCCCUUGACGGUACCAUAUGAAUAAGCACCGGCUAACUCCGUGCCAGCAGCCGCGGUAAUACGGAGGGUGCAAGCGUUAUCCGGAUUCACUGGGUUUAAAGGGUGCGUAGGCGGGUAGGUAAGUCAGUGGUGAAAUCCUGGAGCUCAACUCCAGAACUGCCAUUGAUACUAUCUAUCUUGAAUAUUGUGGAGGUAAGCGAAAUAUGUCAUGUAGCGGUGAAAUGCUUAGAUAUGACAUAGAACACCCAUUGCGAAGGCAGCUUACUACGCAUAUAUUGACGCUGAGGCACGAAAGCGUGGGGAUCAAACAGGAUUAGAUACCCUGGUAGUCCACGCCCUAAACUAUGGAUACUCGACAUAUGCGAUACACUGUAUGUGUCUGAGCGAAAGCAUUAAGUAUCCCACCUGGAAGUACGUUCGCAAGAAUGAAACUCAAAGGAAUUGGCGGGGGUCCGC
rnacentral:rRNA from 1 species